rnacentral:rRNA from 1 species
ACGUAGGGUGCGAGCGUUAAUCGGAAUUACUGGGCGUAAAGCGUGCGCAGGCGGUUCGCUAAGACAGGUGUGAAAUCCCCGGGCUUAACCUGGGAAUGGCGCUGGUGACUGGCAGGCUAGAGUCGUGCAGAGGGGGGUAGAAUUCCAGGUGUAGCGGUGAAAUGCGUAGAGAUGUGGAGGAACACCGAUGGCGAAGGCAGCCCCCUGGGCAGAUACUGACGCUCAGGUGCGAAAGCGUGGGGAGCAAACAG